rnacentral:rRNA from 1 species
UACGUAGGGGGCAAGCGUUGUCCGGAUUUAUUGGGCGUAAAGAGCGUGUAGGCGGCUAGGUAGGUCCGUUGUGAAAACUCGAGGCUCAACCUCGAGACGUCGAUGGAAACCAUCUAGCUAGAGUCCGGAAGAGGAGAGUGGAAUUCCUGGUGUAGCGGUGAAAUGCGCAGAUAUCAGGAGGAACACCGGUGGCGAAGGCGGGUCUCUGGGCCGAAAUUGACGCUGAGGAGCGAAAGCGUGGGGGAGCAAACAGG